rnacentral:rRNA from 1 species
CCUACGGGAGGCUGCAGUGGGGAAUAUUGGACAAUGGGGGGAACCCUGAUCCAGCCAUGCCGCGUGUGUGAAGAAGGCCCUCGGGUUGUAAAGCACUUUCAGUGAGGAAGAACGCCUGGUGGUUAAUACCCAUCAGGAAAGACAUCACUCACAGAAGAAGCACCGGCUAACUCCGUGCCAGCAGCCGCGGUAAUACGGAGGGUGCGAGCGUUAAUCGGAAUUACUGGGCGUAAAGCGCGCGUAGGUGGCUUGAUAAGCCGGUUGUGAAAGCCCCGGGCUCAACCUGGGAACGGCAUCCGGAACUGUCAAGCUAGAGUGCAGGAGAGGAAGGUAAAAUUCCCGGUGUAGCGGUGAAAUGCGUAGAGAUCGGGAGGAAUACCAGUGGCGAAGGCGGCCUUCUGGACUGACACUGACACUGAGGUGCGAAAGCGUGGGUAGCAAACAGGAUUAGAUACCCUAGUAGUC